AACACUAUAACCAGAGCCAGGAGGAUCAAACCCACAGAAACAGGAACUAUCACAGAAAAACCUGAAAUCACACAAAGGGAUUGUGACUGAGAAAUAAGCUGAACUUCAGUGAGUAUGAAGGACCCAGAAUUCUCCUCUGCACACCAGUAUUUCCCAGAAUCCUCUGCUGUCAGAUUGCUGAUGUUCACAGUAAAGACUCCAGCAGAGGUUUCAUCAGUCAGAGAGAAUCUGCCGUUUAUCCUGUUAUUUGAUGAAACACGAACUCCGUCUCUGACGCAGAUAUUGAUCUGAUCUCCUCUACAGAAAAAACCCUGAUUUUGAUUCCUGAUGUAUUUACAGCUGAUGGACGCUGAUCCUCCGACAGACGCCUCAUGAGUGAUCACUGAACAACACAACAUUAAAUAUGAGGAGUUUGAGAACAAAAUGAUCAGAAACAUUGAGAUUAAUCCCAAAUAAACAGCCUCACCGUCCUUCAUGAUGAUCAUGAGCUCAAUGGGAAGAUUAAACACGUCUUUCACUGCACACCAGUAUUUCCCAGCAUCCUCUGCUCUCAGAUCAGUCAUGGUCACAGUGAAGAGAUUGAGUUCAGUGUCUUCCUUUACUGAAAUUUUUGGGUUUUUAACAUGAUUUUCAUCUGAUUGAAUGAUAUUUUGAGCAUCUUUAGGGAAACACUUUCCACUGCGCAGACAAGUUUUUUCUGUUGAAUGUUUUUCAUCAUAAGGGCAUUUGAUCUCAGCUGAAUCUCCUUCACGUCCGACCACUGGAGGCACUAAUAGUCAAAGAGAAUAGAGAUAAUUUAUUUGUAGAUUUAUUGCAUUAUUUACAGUCAGGAGGGAUUUGCAUUUUUUAUUUAGAGCCGUAAAGAUUUUAUCAUCAAAAUGAAACUAAACUCACUCUGAACAUUCAGAUGAAUCUCUUUAAUGAAGGUGAUGUGAGUAUUUGAUGUUUCUGAAGGUUGAUCAUCUGAUUCGUGUCUCUCCACUCCACAUAAAUAAACUCCACUGUCUGCUGUAGAAAUGUCUCUGAUGGUCACAUUAAAAUGAUCUUUCUGACUGUCAGACAGGAUGAACUUCUCCUCAGAUGAUUGUGAUGAUUGUGAGCUGUUCAGCACAUGGACAGGACCAACGUUCAGUCUGUAGAAGACUUUGGUGUGUGUUUUAAA